UACAGAGGUCUCAAGCGUUGUUCGGAUUCAUUGGGCGUAAAGGGUGCGUAGGCGGCGCGGUAAGUCGGGUGUGAAAUCUCGGAGCUUAACUCCGAAACUGCAUUCGAUACUGCCGUGCUUGAGGACUGGAGAGGAGACUGGAAUUUACGGUGUAGCGGUGAAAUGCGUAGAUAUCGUAAGGAAGACCAGUGGCGAAGGCGGGUCUCUGGACAGUACCUGACGCUGAAGCACGAAGGUCAGGGGAGCAAACGGG
rnacentral:rRNA from 1 species